ensembl:lncRNA
CUGUCAAGUGGGAAGUCAAGUAAUAAAUACUAUAUUAGCUCAAGCAUAUCUUGAAGGCACAAGACAGUUGUAUGAGUGGGUGGCUCAGACUUCCAAGAUGUACCAUCUUGCAAUAUUGAUACCUUCCCAUCAGUUCUGACAUAGGGCCUCAUGGGAAAUUCCCUAUAAUCAACUCUCCCAAGAAGAAAGAAAUCAGGCUUGAUUUCACAAACAGUUCUUCACAAUAUUCUGAGACUACUCAAACAUGGACUGCUGCUACAUUACAGCCCAUUCAGGAAGGCCUCGAAGGAUCAAGAGGAAGAUAAACCCUGUCAGUGGGCAGAACCUUUGCCAUUGCCUCUUAUCUUUCACCUGGUAGGUUCAUCUCACCUGGAAGGUAAAAUGGAAAGAGGUUUGGAUCUAUACAAGUUUAUGAGCAAUGGCUACGUCUUUGCUGGUAUAUGAAGUAACUUAGAGCAAAGUAACAGGUUUGGUGAAGAGAAGAUCUGGAGAGAUUUAAGGCAACAGACUUCUGAGAAAGGCCUCAAACUGUGAAGAUAUUUUUGGCCCAUGUGACAAUUUACCAAAGGGAACUCAUGGUGAAAAAACUCUCUGAAACCAGCAAAAAUAGGUAAAAUCAGAUACACAAGAUGACCCAUUCAUGAAUAUCAGUCAGACUCAUAAUGAGAAUGAAGGUUACACCAUUGGCAUAAAGUUUGAGGCCCCUGAGAGCUAUUAAUAAUGUUCUAAUCAUUACCAGUAAAGCCUAGGGACAAAUCCUACCUCACUCUUCAUGUAUGCUGUAGGUGAUGCCAGGGAGUUUAUUCCUGAGGGAUGAUGGGUCCUCAAGGGAGCACCAUCUUGAAGAAAAUAACCCCAGGAGGCCUACCUGAAAGCAGGGAACCGAGGGUUUAAUAGGUCAUGGAUCAGCCUCUAACAAGUCUUCACAUGGAGACACAACAGGAUACACCAGUAUGGACCGGCUUAGUAGGAAAUCAAGGCUGACAGAGCAGUGACCAUUGGAAACAUGAGGGCACGCUGAGUGCUUACCUGUCCCAGGCUCUUGUGUAGUGUUGUCUAAACGUUCCCUUCGCAUUCUCUCCACAAGGACACAACAAUCCCGGAAGGUCACAAAUGAGGGAAACGCGUUCAGACAGAGGAAAGUGACUUGCCCAAGGUCACACAACUGCAGGUACGAGCUGGGAUGGGACUCCAGUCCUUUCUGACUCAUAAGUGCAUACUCUUGACCACUAAGGCCCGCAGGACAGAAUGAAGGUAAAGCCCCUGGCUGGUCGCAGGUGCGCAGGAGAGGUGGGAGAGCCCUCACCCUCUUGCGUUGGGGUGUGGACCAUGUGACGGACUCUGCCAGACAUGGAAUGAACACUCAGGAAAGGGUUUUGAAUUCCAAUUGGAUUGGAAACCCUUCAGAGAUCUUCUCCUCUAAACCUCUCACUAUGCAGAUGAGAAAACCAAGUCUCAG